rnacentral:rRNA from 1 species
GAUGAACGCUGGCGGCGUGCUUAACACAUGCAAGUCGAACGAAGCACUUAUGAUUGAGAUUUCGGUUGAUUGAUUAAGUGACUUAGUGGCGAACGGGUGAGUAACGCGUGAGGAACCUGCCUUCCAGUGGGGGACAACAGUUGGAAACGACUGCUAAUACCGCAUAACGCAGCUAGAUCGCAUGAUCUUACUGCCAAAGCUUUAUGUGCUGGAAGAUGGCCUCGCGUCUGAUUAGCUAGUUGGUGGGUAACGGCCCACCAAGGCGACGAUCAGUAGCCGGUCUGAGAGGAUGAACGGCCACAUUGGGACUGAGAUACGGCCCAGACUCCCACGGGAGCAGCAGCUAAGAAUAAUUCCGCCAAAUGGGGGGAAAACCCGUGACGGAGCGACGCCGCGUGGAUGAUGAAGGCCGGAAGGUUGUAAAGUACCUUUUGGGUCGC